rnacentral:rRNA from 1 species
UACGUAGGUCCCGAGCGUUGUCCGGAUUUAUUGGGCGUAAAGCGAGCGCAGGUGGUUUAUUAAGUCUGGUGUAAAAGGCAGUGGCUCAACCAUUGUAUGCAUUGGAAACUGGUAGACUUGAGUGCAGGAGAGGAGAGUGGAAUUCCAUGUGUAGCGGUGAAAUACAUAGAUAUAUGGAGGAACACCGGUGGCGAAAGCGGCUCUCUGGCCUGUAACUGACACUGAGGCUCGAAAGCGUGGGGAGCAAACAGG